CUGCUUGUAUUUUUUGACAAUCAAGUUUUUUACUAUUUGUUUCAACACUUAUGUAUUGUUUCAGACUAACUCUAUGCAAGUCGCACCACUUUUAGUUGAAAUUACCUUGUUACAAAUAUGACCGUUUGUAGCCAAUAGUUCCAUACAGAGCAAAUGUUUCAACUUGUAUCAUUGUCUCAGUGACCACAAUAAAGAGACCAAUGAAAAACACCUGUGGCCGUGUGCUUCUCAAUACUCCAGCAGCCAUAUAUCACAUAACUGAAAUGCUUCGCUCCCUCUGACAAUAGGCUCAGCUCCAGCAGCCAGUCAUAGCAAAGCAGUGAGGUCACAUGAUCUGGCAGGUCUGUAUUAGAUGAGCUUUGGGUUAGUUUGAAACUGUCUGCUGCCCGGACCCUCGAGAUAAGACCCCAUCUCUCGUUCGUCCUAGUGAGAUCUCAGAAAUCAACUAGUCAUGGCUGACACGGAAAACGUCGUGGAGGAGGAAGUUCAGGAAGGUAAGCCAGUAUGUACCUACUGCUUAAAGCAUCAACAUUAGCCAUAUUCAUGCAAUAAUCACUAACUGUGUCCUCAUGGAAACUGGAGGCUGGUCCAGAGGAAGUUCUGCAUGCUAUUGUGCUAUUUUAGACUGUGAGCGUUUCACUUUAGAAUAGCUUUUGUCUUCAGCUUCAUGCCCAGUGAGCACUAAUAUCAGUAUGUGCAGA
rnacentral:lncRNA from 1 species